UGGGGAAUAUUGGACAAUGGGCGAAAGCCUGAUCCAGCCAUGCCGCGUGUGUGAAGAAGGUCUUCGGAUUGUAAAGCACUUUAAGUUGGGAGGAAGGGCAGUAAGUUAAUACCUUGCUGUUUUGACGUUACCAACAGAAUAAGCACCGGCUAACUUCGUGCCAGCAGCCGCGGUAAUACGAAGGGUGCAAGCGUUAAUCGGAAUUACUGGGCGUAAAGCGCGCGUAGGUGGUUUGGUAAGAUGGAUGUGAAAUCCCGGCGUCAACCUAGGGCAACUGCAUCCAUGAACUGCCUGACUAGAGUACGGUAGAGGGUGGUGGAAUUUCCUGUGUAGCGGUGAAAUGCGUUAGAUAUAGGAAGGAACACCAGUGGCGAAGGCGACCACCUGGACUGAUACUGACACUGAGGUGCGAAAAGCGU
rnacentral:rRNA from 1 species